rfam:Biomphalaria glabrata isolate BB02 unplaced genomic scaffold LGTN_random_Scaffold1891, whole genome shotgun sequence.
AAAGCUAAGCGGUAAAGCGCUUGGCUUCAGAACCGGGGGUCCCGGGUUCAAAUCCUGGU